GAUCCUGGCUCAGGAUGAACGCUAGCGACAGGCUUAACACAUGCAAGUCGAGGGGCAGCGGGGAGUAGCAAUACUUCGCCGGCGACCGGCGCACGGGUGAGUAACACGUGUGCAACCAACCCCGUACCGGGAGAUAACCCGCGGAAACGUGGACUAACAUCCCAUGAUACUCGAGGGCCGCAUGGCUCUCGAUUUAAAGUUCCGGUGGUACGGGACGGGCACGCGCGACAUUAGGUAGUUGGCGGGGUAACGGCCCACCAAGCCG
rnacentral:rRNA from 1 species